AAUCUUAGAGUUCGGGCUCUGGGGAUAGUAUGCUCGCAAGGGUGAAAAUUAAAGAAAUUGACGGAGCUACACCACAAGGAGUGGAUUGUGCGGCUUAAUUUGACUCAACGCGAGGAAACUUACCAGGGCCAAGUAUUGUGUAGAAACGAGCAAUACAGGAGUGGUGCAUGGUCGUUGGAAAUUGAUGGGAUGACUUUGACCUUAAAUGGUUGAAUGAGUGAGAUCUUUUGGACAUGUUCCGCACGGAACAGGAAGGAAAAGGCUAUAACAGAUCCGAGAUGCCCUCAGAUGCCCUGGGCUGCACGCGCAAUACAAUAGCAGGUAGAGAGAGAGACAGGAAGGUGCUCAGAUGGACUAUGUGCUGUAAGGCACAUACGAAAGAGGAAUCCUAGUAAG
rnacentral:rRNA from 1 species